UACGUAGGGACCGAGCGUUGUCCGGAUUCAUUGGGCGUAAAGAGCUCGUAGGCGGCCACUCAAGUCGAAUGUGAAACCUCGAGGCUUAACCUCGAGCCUGCAUUCGAUACUGGGUGGCUAGAGUCUGGUAGGGGGAGUCUGGAAUUCCUGGUGUAGCGGUGGAAUGCGCAGAUAUCAGGAGGAACACCGGUGGCGAAGGCGGGAUCCUGGGCCAGUACUGACGCUGAGGAGCGAAAGCGUGGGGAGCAAACAGG
rnacentral:rRNA from 1 species